GAUGAACGCUAGCGGCAGGCUUAACACAUGCAAGUCGAGGGGCAGCAUGACGGAACUUUCGGGUUCUGUUGAUGGCGACCGGCGCAAGGGUGCGUAACGCGUGAGCAACUUGCCCGUUUCUGGGGCAUAACCGGUGGAAACGCCGACUAAUUCCCCAUAGUAUCCAUUGGAGGCAUCUCUUAUGGAUUAAAGGAUUUCGGAAACGGAUAGGCUCGCGUGACAUUAGCUAGAUGGCGGGGUAACGGCCCACCAAGUCUACGAUCGGUAGCCGGACUGAGAGGUUGAACGGCCACAUUGGGACUGAGACACGGCCCAGACUCCUACGGGAGGCAGCAGUGGGGAAUAUUGGGCAAUGGGGGAAACCCUGACCCAGCAACGCCGCGUGAAGGAAGAAGGGCCCUUCGGGUUGUAAACUUCUUUACCAGGGACGAAGAACGUGACGGUACCUGCAGAAAAGACAACGGCUAACUACGUG
rnacentral:rRNA from 1 species